UGGCGGGCUGCGAGUGCAGCCACGACCCGGAUUUCUUAGCCCUCAAGGCCAGCCAAUCAGUAUGGCGCCCUCUCCAGCUUCUCCUCCCUCUGAAUCCAGGUAGGGGUUCUCCAAAUCUUCCGCUACAGAUCCUAGUGCAAGUGGCAUCUAGACCUCCCAGUUGAUCUGCAACGCCUUGAGCUCGCUGAAGCCCUUGCUGUAGCGGAUGUCUGC